rnacentral:miRNA from 1 species
UUGGGUUCACCAUCUACGGCU